CACCUCCCCCGAUGCCGCCUCAGAGCUCGGCUUCCUCAGAGACCGCCAGGUGCCCGGGCCUGUCUCGCCACCGCCCCCCCGGACGCCGCUGAGCGAAGCCCCCCGCUUGCCUCACAGCAGGAAAGAAUCAGGACAGGGGUCCGGGGGAACGCGAGCGGGAGGAGGAGGAGGCUGAGGAGCCUAGGGAUCCGGGACGCCCGGCCCGGCUGCGAAGGAGUGCCCCUGCCAGGAGUGUGCCCCGCUCCCUCCAGCGGGCGCAUUUGCGGGUAAGGACCGCUGCGGAGGGCCGGAGGAGAGGAGAAAUAAGAAGCGGAGCCGGCAGCCCUCGAGUCGGGGCAGGGAGCGGAGCCCGAGGGCAGAGGGAAUGGAGGGCUUGCCCGGAGCGGGGCAGGUCGGGGAGAUCCAGGGAGAAGUGCUGCGGAGCCCAGGGGCGUAAAGGGAAGCGGGCGAGAGGAACCGGAAAGCAGCCAGGCUAACGUUUUAGGGAGUCGGGCCGCGGGAUCUGAACACGAUGUGCACAGAUGCGUCAAACAUUAACAGGCAGAUUGGGUUUCCUCCAGACAAAUCGAGUCAAAUCUCCUUCAUGAGGCCAUCUUGGUGCUGUGGGAAAAAAUUGGGACCUGGGAUCAGGAGAGCAAGCUUUCUAUCUGCUAGCUGACCUUAGACCAUCCCAGAGCACUAUGAUCUGUUCCUACUCCCUUCUGCUAGGAUUCUCACCAUAUAUCAAGUCUUUUUCCUCUCCUCCUUUGAAACAUCUAUGAUUUCGAAGGUGUCUGAAAGGUGAGGAAACCGGUCCAGAGAGGAGAAAUACUGCCCGAGAUCGCACCAGGAGUAAUGGAGCAGAAUUCCGCCGUUGCGCCCCGUGAGUUCCAUGGUCUCCCCUGCUUUUCACAAGCUGUCCCCAGAGUGUUUAGACUUGGCCCCUGCUGACACUCGUCUGUCAUCCAGUAUCUUUAUAUAAUCUUCCUUUGAUGCGGCGAUCUGAGUAGGCAGACCAGCCUGACGAGAGCGAAAGGUUCGUGCACUAACAGUAACCUGGAGUCGCACUGAGUUUGAAGGACUACAAAGGAUUUCUCUCACGAUGGCUGGAACGGUCGUGUCAGACUCUUACGGACCCAGGAAGGACUAAGUCCAAACUCGACAAGUGGGAACAGGAAGAUAGGAAAAAGGAAAAAUAAAUGAAUGAAUGAAUCCAAAAACACCCAAUUAAUAAAGAAUGAACAGAACUUGGCUUCUGAGAGUUGGUAUAUUAGAAAGAAAAGCGUGUGUUUCCUUCCUACUUUGCAGAGGACAGAAGGAUAAAAUUUAUGGGAGAGCACUUUGUCAAUCUAUAAAAGUACCUUGUGCAAAUGAUCAAUUAUCAUUUAAGAUUUGAGGUACAAAAAGGAUAAAUCAAAAGUUGUUCUGAAACUUAGUUUGGUGGAGUUUGAGUACCAUCAACUAACAGGGAAUUUAAGAGAGAAAGCCAAUUUGGAAAAAAAGCUGAGGAAACUUAGACCAAAUACAUUUAUUAAAAGUGUUAGAAAAAUAAUUUCGUUUCAAAGCUAUCAUUUUACAGAUGGAGUUAAGAUUUAAGUUAGAUCCACAGGAGGAAACAGUGGUGAAAAUGACUUGCCCAUGGUAGUAGCAAGAAGUAUGACUAAGACCCAGUGUUGGGAAUCAAUGCUUCUCCUGCUAUGGAAUAAAACCUUUUACUUAAGUCACACAUUUCAAUGUUUCUUUUUGUUUUGAAAGGGAAAAAUUCCACAUUUCUUCUCUAUAACCAAAAUUAUUUAAACAUGUGCUUGUUUUCUUAACAUUAGCAUAAGCUAAAGAAUAUACUUAGAGCCACAGAUGAGAUCUCUGAGGGGAGUGAGCUAAAUGAGAAGAAAUGACAUCUGAAGAUUGAAUUUAGGGGAAUCCCAUCCUUUUGGAGGUGGAAGAAAAGAGCUAAGUACUGAAGAAUUCAGGUUCAACACGUGCUGAAAUACUCAUAGCCAACACUCUUUUAUGGCUA